GGAAAAGAAAGGUCAUUGCGGAACUCUAAGCCUUUUGCGGGUCUGUGCGUGUGGGCGCGAGCGAUGGGGUGCGCGUGGUGCGCGCCUCUCCAAUGACCUCGUCGACAAUGCCGCUGUAGCGCCGGCGCAGCCACAGGACAGCCCGCAAGUCUCCGAAGGCCAGGGCUUCGCUGGCUGCUACGGCGACGGCGGCGCUGAUGGCCCGGUCGACGGCGCUGCGACAAGAAUCGUCGGCGGCAGUCGGAUCGAGCAAAAAGGAGACGGCCUCAGUGUCGCGCGCGCACAGACUCGCAUAGAGCGGCGACUUGGUGUAUGUGUCGCUCCUCAAUCGAUCGAAUUGGGAUGCACGUUCGCACCCGCGGGCGUAGAGAAAGCGCGCCGCGUCUGCGUUGCCCUCGCGCCAGGCGCUCCACGCGGCGUACGCGUCGCCCUCGCCCAUGCGCGCACACGCCCACCGUGCAGUGUCCAGAUCGCCCCGACCCACGGCGGCAACGGCCACGCGCGGGUACAUGAAACCCAAGAAAGAUGUCAGGCCAUGUCCGAACGAGGCCGCCUGGUCGUCGCCGCUCUCUGUCUCGGCACCCAACUCGUCCAUGAGAUCGCGUCGGCCGGCGAGCGCCAUCGCCACGCGGAGAAACGGGACGACGACCGAGCAGAGCAGGGGAGCCACCGCGCCCCCAUCCACGUCUCGCUUUACGCGCGCGUGGAGCCACAUGACAUCGUCACACACAGACGGCCACGGUGGGCUGAUGUUUAUGGCGUCGGUGCCGCGUAGGCCGGCGUGAGGCGCGAUGACGGCCAUGGAAACGGCCAAUACUUGGACAGGGUAAAACGGAGAUCGGUCAAGCGUCAUGCCGACGGCCGCGUCGCCAUAUCGAUCGCGCAACGCCGUUAGGCCGCCACGCGCCACCAGGGCCCACGCGGCAUUGACGCCGUCGACCGACGCGGUCAACGGGUCGGCCAUCGCUUUGUGGGCCAAUUGAUCGUCCGCAGGGUCUGCCCAUUUGGGCCACCCCAAUCGCUUCUCCAACCAUUGGAGGUGAGAAACGGCUCCUCCCGUGUCAUUGUCCACGCUCUCGGUCGACUGCUGCAACAACCCGACAAUGUCAAAGCCGCUCGCGGCAGAGACACGUUCGGCGACGGCAUGCAUGGCGGCUCUGUCCAUCGUGUGGGCCGUGCGCAUGACCGCCAACACGACCUCCAAGUCGAGACGCAUGGUCAGCCAGAGUAAUUCGUCGGCGCGAUUCACGGACGCCAUGCGCACAGUCGCAUAGGCAGAGAGCACACACCCGAUCGUGGGGGCGCGUGUCGGGCGAUUGUCGUCGUCGCACAACCAUGCAAGCGCCCGCUCGCAACCAUGGUGGGCAGCCGUCACCGCCAAGGCCAGCCACGGCGCCGGGGCGGGCGGCCAUGUGGGUGAAUUGAUUGCGCCGUUUUCCAGGGCCAAGUGCAUGGCCACCCGUUGGUCCGCGGUCGUGUGGGCUGGCGGUUCCGGGUCGAGAUCAGGCGCCGGCGGCAAUGUGGAAGCGACCUCGACCAUCCGCGCCUUGAGAUGCUGCAAUACGUCGGCGUGGUUGCCGAUGACUGCGACAUACAGACAUGCGUCCCAGCGAAACCCGGCGACGGGGCCAAAGACGUCGGGCCGCAAGGCGGCAUAGCGCAGGCCGUCUCGAUCGCCGGCGGCACACAGCGACAGGAGCGUGGCAAAGCGGCAGCGGCGGACGGUCAUGUCUGUCGACGUCAGCACGUGGAAGCGCCGCCAGGCCAACAGACACGCACCCAGGUCCUUGGGGUCACGAACAUGGUCCGAGACGAUGAGAUAGAGAAGAUCGUCGGGCAGGACAUCGACCGGCGGUGGGUCCAUGACACUGGCCUCUUUUUUUUUGCGUUGCUCUCUUUUCUUUGCAGAAAAAAAAAGAGUCGGCGACGUGCCCUGUUUCUUUUUCGCGAAAAGAAUACACAAGCCAAGGAGAGCC
rnacentral:lncRNA from 1 species